rnacentral:rRNA from 1 species
GUGGGGAAUAUUGGACAAUGGGCGCAAGCCUGAUCCAGCCAUGCCGCGUGAGUGAUGAAGGCCUUAGGGUUGUAAAGCUCUUUCGCCCGCGAAGAUAAUGACGGUAGCGGGAGAAGAAGCCCCGGCUAACUUCGUGCCAGCAGCCGCGGUAAUACGAAGGGGGCUAGCGUUGUUCGGAAUCACUGGGCGUAAAGCGCACGUAGGCGGACGUUUAAGUCAGAGGUGAAAGCCUGGAGCUCAACUUCAGAACUGCCUUUGAUACUGAACGUCUCGAGUCCGGGAGAGGUGAGUGGAACUGCUAGUGUAGAGGUGAAAUUCGUAGAUAUUAGCAAGAACACCAGUGGCGAAGGCGGCUCACUGGCCCGGUACUGACGCUGAGGUGCGAAAGCGUGGGGAGCAAACAGGAUUAGAAACCCGGGUAGUCC